rnacentral:sRNA from 1 species
CGCGACCUCAGGCGCCAUUUUGUAGAGAAACAAGCGGAGUUAACCGAAGAGGGGGUCGGGGAGAGCCGGAGUCGGGGACCCAGGAGUUUCCUGUGUCCAGCGCUGCCGGAGCCGCCUGAGGUGACCAGCACCCAUGCAGAAACUACCUAGAAGUUGCCAAGCUAUCAGUCAACUCAGCAUACAAAAAGAAACUUAACCAUUCUAAGGAUCUUAGAAGUUGUAUGCCAGGAAAUGGGAUGAAGACCAAAUGUAUAUCUCACAAUAAAUAUUACAGUAAUGUUGAAGUAAUUAUUUGAAAUAUAAAA